rnacentral:rRNA from 1 species
GACGAACGCUGGCGGCGUGCUUAACACAUGCAAGUCGAGCGGUAAGGCCCUUUCGGGGGUACACGAGCGGCGAACGGGUGAGUAACACGUGGGUGACCUGCCCUCAGCUCUGGGAUAAGCCUGGGAAACCGGGUCUAAUACUGGAUAUGACUCCAUGACGCAUGUUGUGGGGUGAAAGCCUUGUGCGGCUGAGGAUGGGCCCGCGGCCUAUCAGCUUGUGUGGGGUNAGGCCUACCAAGGCGACGACGGGUAGCCGGCCUGAGAGGGCGACCGGCCACACUGGGACUGAGACACGGCCCAGACUCCUACGGGAGGCAGCAGUGGGGAAUCUUGCGCAAUGGGCGAAAGCCUGACGCAGCGACGCCGCGUGA